AAGAGUGAUCGGUGCAAAACAGACAAUUUUUGUGGUGUGCAUGCUGUAAACCUUUGAAACUCAGGACCUUGUCAAUGUCAUGAUUAAUAGAAGAAGCUAAGCCUACAUAAAUGAUUCAGUCUUUCGCAUUCAAUCUGCAUCUCUCUGAGAAACUAUCCACACGUACUGGUAACCGAGCAACUGAAUAAUCAGGAUGACCUCCAGUGGAAUGACUCGGGCCGCUGACAGCCUGCAUCCAGGUGCAGCAACUCCCAGGAUCACACGCGUAUGAGCAGCGGGGAAGC